GUGAGGAAUAUUGGUCAAUGGGCGAGAGCCUGAACCAGCCAAGUCGCGUGAAGGAAGAAGGAUCUAUGGUUCGUAAACUUCUUUUGCAGGGGAAUAAAGUGCGGGACGUGUCCUGUUUUGUAUGUACCCUGAGAAUAAGGAUCGGCUAACUCCGUGCCAGCAGCCGCGGUAAUACGGAGGCUCCGAGCGUUAUCCGGAUUUAUUGGGUUUAAAGGGUGCGUAGGUGGUUUGAUAAGUCAGCGGUGAAAGUUUGCAGCUUAACUGUAAAAAUGCCGUUGAAACUGUCGGACUUGAGUGUAAAUGAGGUAGGCGGAAUGCGUGGUGUAGCGGUGAAAUGCAUAGAUAUCACGCAGAACUCCGAUUGCGAAGGCAGCUUACUAAGCUACAACUGACACUGAAGCACGAAAGCGUGGGGAUCAAACAGGAUUAGAAACCCCUGUAGUCC
rnacentral:rRNA from 1 species